AUGAACGCUGGCGGCGUGCCUAAUACCUGCAAGUCGCGCGAACAGACGAGGAGCUUGCUCCUCUGACGUUAGCGGCGGACGGGUUAGUAACACGUGGAUAACCUACCUAUAAGACUGGGGUAACUUCGGGAAACCGGAGCUAAUACCGGAUAAUAUAUUGAACCGCAUGGUUCAAUAGUGAAAGACGGUUUUGCUGUCACUUAUAGAUGGAUCCGCGCCGCAUUAGCUAGUUGGUAAGGUAACGGCUUACCAAGGCAACGAUGCGUAGCCGACCUGAGAGGGUGAUCGGCCACACUGGAGCUGAGACACGGUCCAGACUCCUACGGGAGGCAGCAGUAGGGAAGCUUCCGCAGUGGGCGAAAGCCUGACGGAGCAACGCCGCGUGAGUGAUGAAGGUCUUCGGAUCGUAAAACUCUGUUAGUAGGGAAGAACAAAUGUGUAAGUAACUAUGCACGUCUUGACGGUACCUAAUCAGAAAGCCACGGCUAACUACGU
rnacentral:rRNA from 1 species